rnacentral:rRNA from 1 species
AACGCUAGCUACAGGCUUAACACAUGCAAGUCGAGGGGCAGCAUUUUAGUUUGCUUGCAAACUGAAGAUGGCGACCGGCGCACGGGUGAGUAACACGUAUCCAACCUGCCGAUAACUCUGGAAUAGCCUUUCGAAAGAAAGAUUAAUACCGGAUGGCAUACGAAUAUCGCAUGAUAUUUUUAUUAAAGAAUUUCGGUUAUCGAUGGGGAUGCGUUCCAUUAGUUUGUUGGCGGGGUAACGGCCCACCAAGACAACGAUGGAUAGGGGUUCUGAGAGGAAGGUCCCCCACAUUGGAACUGAGACACGGUCCAAACUCCUACGGGAGGCAGCAGUGAGGAAUAUUGGUCAAUGGGCGAGAGCCUGAACCAGCCAAGUAGCGUGAAGGAUGAAGGCUCUAUGGAUCGUAAACUUCUUUUAUAUGGGAAUAAAGUUUUCCACGUGUGGAAUUUUGUAUGUACCAUAUGAAUAAGGAUCGGCUAACUCCGUGCCAGCAGCCGCGGUAAUACGGAGGAUCCGAGCGUUAUCCGGAUUUAUUGGGUUUAAAGGGAGCGUAGGUGGAUUGUUAAGUCAGUUGUGAAAGUUUGCGGCUCAACCGUAAAAUUGCAGUUGAAACUGGCAGUCUUGAGUACAGUAGAGGUGGGCGGAAUUCGUGGUGUAGCGGUGAAAUGCUUAGAUAUCACGAAGAACUCCGAUUG